rnacentral:rRNA from 1 species
AGUGAACGCUGGCGGCAGGCCUAAUACAUGCAAGUCGAACGGCAGCACAGCAGAGCUUGCUCUGUGGGUGGCGAGUGGCGGACGGGUGAGGAAUACAUGGGAAUCUGCCCAGUCGUGGGGGAUAACGUAGGGAAACUUACGCUAAUACCGCAUGCGCCCUUCGGGGGAAAGCCGGGGACCGUAAGGCCUGGCGCGAUUGGAUGAGCCCAUGUCGGAUUAGCUAGUUGGCGGGGUAAAGGCCCACCAAGGCGACGAUCCGUAGCUGGUCUGAGAGGAUGAUCAGCCACACUGGAACUGAGACACGGUCCAGACUCCUACGGGAGGCAGCAGUAGGGAAUAUUGGACAAUGGGCGCAAGCCUGAUCCAGCCAUGCCGCGUGAGUGAAGAAGGCCCUCGGGUUGUAAAGCUCUUUUGUCCGGAAAGAAAAGCGCCGGGUUAAUACCCUGGUGUCCUGACGGUACCGGAAGAAUAAGCACCGGCUAACUUCGUGCCAGCAGCCGCGUAAU